rnacentral:rRNA from 1 species
AUUGAACGCUGGCGGCAUGCUUUACACAUGCAAGUCGAACGGUAACAGGUUAAGCUGACGAGUGGCGAACGGGUGAGUAAUGCAUCGGAACGUGCCCGAUCGUGGGGGAUAACGUAGCGAAAGUUACGCUAAUACCGCAUACGAUCUGAGGAUGAAAGCGGGGGACCGUAAGGCCUCGCGCGAUCGGAGCGGCCGAUGUCAGAUUAGGUAGUUGGUGGGGUAAAGGCCCACCAAGCCGACGAUCUGUAGCUGGUCUGAGAGGACGACCAGCCAAACUGGGACUGAGACACGGCCCAGACUCCUACGGGAGGCAGCAGUGGGGAAUUUUGGACAAUGGGCGCAAGCCUGAUCCAGCAAUGCCGCGUGCAGGAAGAAGGCCUUCGGGUUGUAAACUGCUUUUGUACGGAGCGAAAAGGCUCUCUCUAAUACAGGGGGCUCAUGACGGUACCGUAAGAAUAAGCACCGGCUAACUACGUGCCAGCAGCCGCAGUAA